UACAGAGGGCUCAACCGUUGUUCGGAUUCAUUGGGCGUAAAGGGUGCGUAGGCGGCUGGGUAAGUCAGGGGUGAAAUCCUGGAGCUCAACUCCAGAACUGCCUUUGAUACUGAAGAUCUUGAGUUCGGGAGAGGUGAGUGGAACUGCGAGUGUAGAGGUGAAAUUCGUAGAUAUUCGCAAGAACACCAGUGGCGAAGGCGGCUCACUGGCCCGAUACUGACGCUGAGGCACGAAAGCGUGGGGAGCAAACAGG
rnacentral:rRNA from 1 species